GCCACAUGUACGGGCAACAACAAAAGAGGGGCAAGCCAAGCUCAAAGCCGCAGGCGUGACAUGACAAAGGGUAUCGCCGACUUAUUUCCGAAGCUGAUGAGGCUACAGUCAUCUCUGCUGCAUCGUUGAUCAUUUGCCAAUGAUCUUUCUCUACUGAAUGCUGCUGCUGUACCCUGCUGCAUCGUUGAUCGUUGGCUAUUCUGUUAUUCUUCAGCAUUUUAUAUGUUUCAUCAACCAGUAUUGUACCGUGUACCUAGUACGUUGCCUCAAAACAAUGCUUUAUUGCUCUUGGUAAUAAACAGCUUGCAUCUGA